rnacentral:lncRNA from 1 species
UGAUCAUAGCUCAAUCGAUGAAAAGAUGAGGAUUGUGAUAUCUUUAUUUCCUCCUCCUGCUCUUAAAUAGUUUCAUCAAUACAAUACAAUUACAUAAUUAUCCACGAGUGACCGAAAUAUUCUCCUCCUUGAUCCUCAAUAGACGGUAACCCGACCUUCAAUCAAUUUCUAAAAAUACUUGCGCACCCUACAGUUAAUCAAGCAAAUCGUUACUCCAGAAAAUACUCAUUUUUUAUGGUCACCUAAUUCAACUAUCUAUAAUCAUUACAAAGCCUCAAUGUUCCAUACAUCUUUUUAACUAACACCGGAGCACCCCAUGAUGAAAUAUUAAGCCAAAUAAAAUCCUCAUUUAAUAAUCCUUGUAGUUGCUUUUCCAAUUCCACUUACUCAAAUGAUAUCUUUCUGUAGAGAGGCUUAGAUAUUGGGAUUGUCCCAAGGACCAAAUCAAAAGCAAGAUCACAUUUGGAGAUAAUCCAAACAAGUCAUCCUGGGAUACAUUAGGCAAGGAGAUAAAUAAUGUGCAACACUCUCAAAAUAAAAGAUCGGCUGAUCAAAUAUGCAAAAAGUGAUCAUUGGUUAUAUACCAAUCCAUACUGGUAUGAUAGGAAGAUAGCCAAUCCAUACCAAGUAUAAUAUCAAAACUCCAAAUCUCUAGGAGAACUAAAUCAGCAAAAGUUCAAGUUCUCCAAUAAGAAUCAGACAAGAGGACCAGAUUCAAGUUCGUUAUCAAAGAAUCUCCAAUGAUCAUAUUUACAUAUAGCACAUAAUGCGGUGGUCUAGGUUGAAUACCCAUGUGAUAAGCAAAAUAUUACGAAUCAAAUCGUAGAUGGGACUCAUGGUCAAACAAAUAUUUGCAUUCUUUCAUAAACAUGCAUAAUACCUUCGAUCACUAAUUCAUAAGUUUUAGAAUCAUAUUCAGUAAUAGUAUACACUCUAACAUGGGCUGAUGAUUUAUGAGGCAGUGACUCUUUCUUCUUGUUCAAGGGGCAGUCUUUUAUUUUAUGAUCCAACUUUCCACAAACAAAAUAGACUCCAGUCAUUUGAAAACACAAACUUGUUUCAUAAUUUAACUUGCAAUUCACACCUGAUUGAGUCUUUUGUGGUGACUUCCCAUUUCAAAUCCAAAUGUCUUAACCCUCUUGUUAUUACUUUCUAAUUCAUUUCCAAUCAUAUUUUUAUUGAUAAACUUGUCCUUAUCAUUCUUGCCACUGAUCUCCAAAAAUUCUCUUUCUUUUUUUUUUUUUUUUUUUUCAUUGUUCCCAUUAAUAAUUAGCCUCUACUUCCAAUAUAAGGUGGCAAAAGAAAUCUUUCGAUCAUCAGAAUAAUUUUGUACAUCAUAUAUCUUUUCUAUUCGCAUCAUCCAUUUUUCUGCCACCAACGAAAUUAGGUUCACCACGCUUCUACUGCGUCACUCUGAUUCAAUAUCCCCGAUCAAUCCUUUCAUUCCCCUUAAUUAAUCAGAAACAAAUGAAAUAGGAGGACCAAAUAUCCUCAUCAUCCUAGAUUCUUAAAAUACCUCAAAGAAAAUUUCCACCAAUCACUAUAGUUCACUAGACCUCAAUAUAUUUUGCACGUCAACAUAUCAAAUAUUUCAUUAAUCCUCAAACCAUGCUCUGAUACCACCUCUGUCACGCCCCUCAAUUAUAUCCAUGAUUUUUAAAAAUUUCGUCACAGACCAAUCCAGGAUCCAAACUAACGUUUGAGGACACUGAAAAACAUUCAAUCAAAUUCACAUCCAUAAAACCUGUGUAUUUUAAAAUCAUAUAUCACAUCACUCGAUAAUUCACAUUUAUGGUAACCCAAGCCAACUUGACAAACAU